GACAGAGGAUGCAAGCGUUAUCCGGAAUGAUUGGGCGUAAAGCGUCUGUAGGUGGCUUUUCAAGUCCGCCGUCAAAUCCCAGGGCUCAACCCUGGACAGGCGGUGGAAACUACCAAGCUGGAGUACGGUAGGGGCAGAGGGAAUUUCCGGUGGAGCGGUGAAAUGCGUAGAGAUCUGGAGGAACACCGAUGGCGAAGGCAGCCUUCUGGGCCAACACUGACGCGCAUGCACGAAAGCGUGGGGAGCAAACAGG
rnacentral:rRNA from 1 species